rnacentral:rRNA from 1 species
GACGAACGCUGGCGGCGUGCUUAACACAUGCAAGUCGAACGGAAAGGCCCUGCUUUUGUGGGGUGCUCGAGUGGCGAACGGGUGAGUAACACGUGAGUAACCUGCCCUUGACUUUGGGAUAACUUCAGGAAACUGGGGCUAAUACCGGAUAGGAGCUCCUGCUGCAUGGUGGGGGUUGGAAAGUUUCGGCGGUUGGGGAUGGACUCGCGGCUUAUCAGCUUGUUGGUGGGGUAGUGGCCUACCAAGGCUUUGACGGGUACCCAGCCUGUGAGGGUGACCGGCCACAAUGGGACUGAGGUACGGCCCAGACGCCUACAGGAGACAGCAGUGGGGAAUAUUGCACAAUGGUCGGAAGCCUGAUGCAGCAACGCCGCGUGCGGGAUGACGGCCUUCGGGUUGUAAACCGCUUUCGCCUGUGACGAAGCGUGAGUGACGGUAAUGGGUAAAGAAGCACCGGCUAACUACGUG